GGAGCUGCCUGAGAACACUGCACUGAUGCCCAGAGCCCCUCAAUAAAAAGGGAAAGCAGAACAUCAUCGUGAUAAACCUGGCUCACAGCCCACGUGAUUAGGCAUUGCUCUCCCACUGUGAGACACACUGGCAUGGGACUCCUGCAGUGCAGAAUUCUGGAAUGUCGGCGAACAUCAGGACAUGAACUCAGUGACCCAGACAACUGAAGCAGAGGGGAUGAAGCUCACUGGGGUAAGUUAGCGUCACUCCAGAUCGGCCCCGGUGAAGACAGCGAGAAUUGCCUACACGUGAAAAAAUGUGGCAAACUUACCUGUAAAGCCUAUCUGACGAUUUUGUCUAUAUUUGAUCUAUUCAGUCCUCAACAGUUUCUACUUUACCACAAUCCAUGCGGGUGCAUCAUAAAGAGGGAAGACUGAUGACCAAGCGGUUCUGGACAAAUCAAGCUUAUCUUUUCCUAGCCUCUGUUCCUGGGGAGGAAAACGUCCUGCAAGAAUCAUCAAGCUACACCACCACAAACAACCCAGUAAAUCAGGAGGUACCUGGUGCCAGGUUCAGCACCAGCUCAGAGACUUAUUUGGGACCUUCUGGAGUCACCUUCAUGGGCUACCAGCCCCAACCCCAGAGACUGACUCAACCAGCCCAGAUGCUUUCCAGACACAAACCCUAACUUUCUUCUGUGAUUUAAGAAUGGCUGGGGGAAAAAAAUCAACCCAUAUAAAAAUAUUUUAUUGUGGAAAACAAGAGUUCCCUGCCCUGGCCACCCCACUCCAGGCUAGCUUCACAGAAAUCACUGUUGUAAGUGAAAUCUUGUAACUAUUUCUGCUUUUAGUUCUAAUGGCAAUCCACCCCAGGUUGCUAAGUAAUGUAUGUAUACCGCUUCAAAAAUACUCAUUUUUGGCAUUAUCGGUAGAGUUCUGCCAUGAGAAGUGAAGGUUGGUUUCCUCCUCCCUCCUGCUAAUACAGCACUGAGGCUGUCACUGUUUUGGUCUCUUAGCGGGCUGUUUUAUCAGUUUAAAUAAUAAGCCUUUAUUUGAAGUUUCUUAAACAGUGUCUCUUAGACCCUCAGGUUGAAAGAGAAUAAUGAUCGUGCCCCUGGCUCCCCACUGUCUUCACCCCAGGGUGCAGGCUGACUGGGGCCCCAGGUCAGCACUCCCUGGUCCCCUCUGUAGAAACCAGACAUUUCCCCUCACCUAAAGAAGCCAAUUUAGUGCCAAUCACAUACUGAACUACUGAUCUUCAGAGCCCCUGGACUUUGGCGUUUGGAAAGACCUGGAAUAUGCCUCUUUAGCAGAUGACUGUGAUACAGGUGGUCUGAGAAUGUGCUGUGAACCCUAUAAAACAGGGGACAUGAGAUGGUGGGUCUGGUCUGUGCAGUGGCAGCGUGAACACAGAAAGCUGAAAUGGAGGAACAGUUUUGCAGCCAAGAGACAUUACAGCUCAAAGGUAUCAGCGGAGGCUAGAAUUCAUCCCUUCAACAAAUAUUGACUGAGCAAGCUCUUACUGUGUGUAAUGCCUUUUUUAGUAUAGUUUUUGCACCCUCCCAGCCCUUUUCAGGUGCUUUGACAGAUUUCUAACUCCAGGGGUAUUUAUUCAGUGUAUUGUUUCAAGAAAAGGAAGGUCUUUGCAAACAGGUGCAACGUGCCGCAGCCUGCCCAGGCAGAGGCUUG
rnacentral:lncRNA from 13 species